rnacentral:rRNA from 1 species
GACGAACGCUGGCGGCGUGCUUAACACAUGCAAGUCGAACGGAAAGGCCCUGCUUUUGUGGGGUGCUCGAGUGGCGAACGGGUGAGUAACACGUGAGUAACCUGCCCUUGACUUUGUGAUAACUUCAGGAAACUGGGGCUAAUACCGGAUAGGAGCUCCUGCUGCAUGGUGGGGGUUGGAAAGUUUCGGCGGUUGGGGAUGGACUCGCGGCUUAUCAGCUUGUUGGUGGGGUAGUGGCUUACCAAGGCUUUGACGGGUAGCCGGCCUGAGAGGGUGACCGGCGACAUUGGGACUGAGAUACGGCGCAGACUGCUACGGGAGGCAGCAGUGGGGAAUAUUGCACAAUGGGCGGAAGCCUGAUGCAGCAACGCCGCGUGCGGGAUGACGGCCUUCGGGUUGUAAACCGCUUUCGCCUGUGACGAAGCGUGAGUGACGGUAAUGGGUAAAGAAGCACCGGCUAACUACGUG